rnacentral:rRNA from 1 species
GUCUACAGCCAUACCACCCUGAACAUACUCAACCCUGUCUGAUCUCAGAAGCUAAGCAGGGUCAAGUCUGCUUGAAGGCAGGGUUGAAUGUGUUGAAGUAUUUGGAUGGCAGACC